ACAUUUUGUUGUUUAUAUUCCUUAGAAAAGGAUCAAAACCAUUCUUGAUGUUGAAUUUCUGGAACUGUAAUAUUUAAAAAAAAAAGGUCUUAAGAUUGAGAGAAGCCAUGCUCAAGAAGCUUCAUCUACAUGAAUCUGAUUUAGAUGAUGAAAUUCCGUACUUAAGCUUGAGCCUAAUGCAGUAAUGGCAUGAAACUAAGAAUCUUGGAAGCAGAGGUAUAAAACACAUAAGUGAGCCAUAAUGAGUGUUCCAGCCCAGUCAAGCUCCUAGAUGACUACAGGACCAGCCAACAUCAAGUGGAGCAAAACAACUGCCUACCUAAGCAAAGUCAACCCAUAGAAUCUUGAGAAAUAAUAAAACGGUUA